AUCACGGUUCUCGUACGAUCACCGAAGUUAAGCAACGUCGAGCCUGGUCAGUACCUAGAUGGGUGAGCGCCUGGGAAUACCAG